rnacentral:rRNA from 1 species
UACGUAGGGUGCAAGCGUUGUCCGGAAUUAUUGGGCGUAAAGAGCUCGUAGGCGGUCUGUCGCGUCGGAUGUGAAAAAUCCAGGGCUUAACCCUGGGCCUGCAUUCGAUACGGGCAGACUAGAGUUCGGUAGGGGAGACUGGAAUUCCUGGUGUAGCGGUGAAAUGCGCAGAUAUCAGGAGGAACACCGGUGGCGAAGGCGGGUCUCUGGACAGUUCCUGACACUGAGGCACGAAGGCCAGGGGAGCAAACGGG